rnacentral:rRNA from 1 species
CAGUCGCCGCGGUAAUACGUAGGUCCCGAGCGUUGUCCGGAUUUAUUGGGCGUAAAGCGAGCGCAGGCGGUUAGAAAAGUCUGAAGUGAAAGGCAGUGGCUCAACCAUUGUAGGCUUUGGAAACUGUUUAACUUGAGUGCAGAAGGGGAGAGUGGAAUUCCAUGUGUAGCGGUGAAAUGCGUAGAUAUAUGGAGGAACACCGGUGGCGAAAGCGGCUCUCUGGUCUGUAACUGACGCUGAGGCUCGAAAGCGUGGGGAGCGAACAGGAUUAGAUACCCGCGUAGUCCCUGUCUCUUAUACA